UAAACCUUAAACCCUAAACCCUAAAUCCUAAACCCUUACCCUAAACCCAAAACCCUAAACUAUAGACCCUAAACUAUAGACCCUAAACUUUAAAACAUAAAUCCUACUUUAGCUUCCGGAAUCCAGUUGCGGUUCUAGUUCUUAUACUCAAUCAUACACAUGACAUCUAGUCAUGUUUGACACAAAAACCCAAACCAUGGUUCUACUUCCUUCACAAAGAUUUGACCAUGUAGUAGAAGUCCGUAUGAUUUUUUGU
rnacentral:sRNA from 1 species